rnacentral:misc_RNA from 1 species
AAGGACGAGAGAGAGCCACAACCCUCCCAGCACCCGCCACACCACCAACGUCACAGCUUCCUGUCUCGUCAACGCGGGGUAACAGGGUGUCAUCAAUAUCCAUUAAACAUCAAUAAAACCUCCUAUAGUUGAUCUGCUGACGUCACCUACUGUUUUUAUGACGUCACAAGCCGUUUGUAAACCAUGACGUCAUCAACAGCAGCUGACUUUCCGGACGCCGCCAUCACAUUAUCUUACAUUAGUAUACUAAGUCAUAUCCUUUAAAACAAAAAUAAAACGAUAACAACUCACUGCAUAUAUUCAAUUAAAACUCGUAUAACAAUUUUUAAACGAAGUAUUUUAGUGAAUAAUUCGUAAAUCGCUUUUUUUAAUUCUGUCUGCCGCUUAAAGAUGAUCCCGUUUACAACCAGGAAUUUAUUUUUGUACUUGGAGAAGGUUACAGACUCUGGGGAAUUAUUUAUACAGCAACCAAAAUACAGUACUGUAUGGUGAAAUGGUGUGUUGUUUGUUUAAAAAUAAUGUAUCGUGUAGAAAAAUAUAACUAAAAAAGUAACUAGAGAAAUUUAAUGAUAAAAAGCUGUCAAACCACAAGGAGGAAAUGAUAUUGAACUCAUAUGAACAAUAUCGUCUGUAAACGAAUGAACAGUUAUAAAUUGAACACGAACAAAUUAAACUUUUUUCUCUAGUGAUGGAGAAGAACAGAAAGUUACUUGAAAGUGUGAGACAAAAAUAGAGUAUUUUUUGUGUACGGAGUAGUUAAGUAUUGUGGUAACGACACAAGACCCAAUUGAAGUGACACAACCAGGUGACAAGAAUCGUCUAGAUGCCUUUAAUUAAGAGUACGAGAACGGUGUUGGUGUGGGUGAGUGUGUACAGUGUAUUGGUCCUGUUGGUGUUGGGGGAGUCAUUGACAGCAGCGAAAGACAAUUAUGGAGGGGAUAGCGACAACACCUCAGACUCGACAGAAGCAACUGGGAAGAACUCGUGUCACACCGUCCACCACCAGGAAGGGAUCCAUCUGGUGUCUAUACGGUGGCAGGAGGUGGGCGUUUACUACACCAUCACCGCCUUCGUCAUCAUCGCCGGCUUCACUAAGCUAGCCUUCCACCACCUACACUGGCUGUCUCACCGAGUGCCGGAGUCUUGUUUGCUGGUCGUCUUGGGUAUAAUUCUCGGUGUCAUCUUCUACUUCUUCACACAAGAUGAAGUCACGGAGAAUGUUUGUCACACCCGAAUUGAGUUGCCGCACUUUACCUCUGAUAAGUUCUUCUUCGUCCUCCUGCCUCCUAUUGUGUUGGAGUCGGCGUACUCGCUCCACGACCGCUCCUUCUUCGACAACCUGGGCACCGUUCUGGUCUUCGCUAUUGUUGGGACGAUGUUCAAUAUAUUUGCUAUUGGUCCUUCGCUCUAUGGAUUAAGAGCUGCUGGUGCUAUGGGCGACAUCACCUUCUCGUUUACGGAGAUCUUGGUGUUCUCGUCUCUCAUCUCUGCCGUGGACCCAGUGGCUGUGUUGGCCAUUUUCCAGGAGCUGGGUGUUAACAAAGACCUCUAUUUCCUUAUCUUUGGUGAAUCUCUCCUCAACGAUGGUGUGACGGUGGUGGUGUACAACACUAUGCAGGCCUUCAUGUCCAUGACUAGGGUCACACUGGACCAGUACGCUCUAGCCAUCGCUGCGUUCCUCAUUGUUGUGUGUGGAGGCAUUGCCAUCGGCAUCAUCUUUGGGUGUCUCACGGCCCUCGUCACCAAGUCUACAACGGACGUCAGAGUGGUUGAGCCCCUGGCACUGUUGGGUCUGGCCUACCUGAGCUACCUCACCGCUGAGCUGUUUCACUUCUCAGGUAUUAUCAGUCUUAUUGUCUGCGGUCUUCUUCAAGCACAUUAUGCUUUCGCGAACAUCUCUCAGAAGUCUUACACCUGUGUUAAAUACUUCACCAAGAUGGCUAGUGCGACGAGUGACACAGUUAUCUUCAUGUUCCUGGGGAUGGUGCUGGUGAGUGACGAACAUGAGUGGCACACCGGCUUUGUCCUCUGGAGCGUCACUUUGUGUUUUAUCUACAGGUUUAUCGGUGUUUUUGUGCUCACCUUUCUGAUGAACAACUACCGGGUUAAGAAGAUUGGCCUGGAGGAGCAGUUCAUCGCGGCGUACGGGGGGCUGCGGGGGGCCGUGGCCUUCUCCCUGGUCAACAUGCUGGACAAGUCCUUGGCUCCUCGCAGGAUAUUUGUCACCACCACCCUGAUUGUUAUUCUCUUCACUAUCUUUAUACAGGGAAUGACCAUCAAGCCCCUGGUCAACCUCCUCCAGAUACAAAAACAUAAAUCUGGGAAGAGGAACCUGAGUGAGGAGAUCAACACCACCACCAUGGACCACAUCAUGGCCGGGGUGGAGGAGAUCCUGGGCCAGCACGGAGACUUCUACCUCAGGGAACUAAUGGUGUACUACAAUGACAAAUACCUCAAAAAGUGGUUCCUACGGCCAUCCUGUGAAUCAAAACUCCAAAGACUUUUCGAAAAAAUUGCAAUAUCAGAACAUUAUGCCCACCUGUAUGGUCCUGUGGCCUUGAUCGAGGACAAGGUUACGCCGCUCUGCCCAUCUGUCAAGAGAGAGAGAAAGAUCCGCCCCUCAUCAUUUUCUAUGUCGCACAAGGAUGAAAUUUUGAUAGAACCGAGGUUAAAUCUUGAGGAUGAAGACGGUGAUGUGGAGAUCAUCCCCGGCUUUGUUCACGACGGGAGUGUGGAACUACGGAAGAAGCGCGGGUCUAUCUUGCCCACUAGGAGAAGCAGAGUGGCGUCCUCGAGUUCCGAGGAGUCCACAAGUCACCAGCAGUCGCAUGACGCUCAGGUCCUCCGUAAAGCGUUUAGGAAUAACCCCUAUAAUAAGCAGACUCUGCAGUUGCACCAACACGUCCAAGAUAGACGAGCUCUGCGCUGGGCUCUCAAAAAGUCGAACACCACUGCUGAUGUCAACAGGCAGAGUCAGGCAGGUAACAAAGGUCAAAGUUCAACACGGAGUUCACAGUCACGGAAUGGAGUUUCUGGCAUUGGGACCACACGGCGUGAACCAACCUCACUGACUGGAACUACACACAGUGGAAACUCACGGAAUGAAACCCUUCGCACUAAACAUUAUAGCAAAAGAAAUCACUGAAUGGAAAUGAGAGUCAUAAUACAAGUGCACACGUUAAUCCUUUCUCGUUUCUGAGGAAUGCAUGGGGUUCGUUCUCUGCAUCGAUACGUGACAACCCUCCUCCGUGACGGAAGUUAUUAUUUCAUAGACGCGGGGAUACCAUGAUUACUGUGCUCAUAGUUAUUUUCCUCUUGGUAGUGAACUGCACCUAGAUGACUUUACUUAGCCAAGAUUGUUAUGUAGUCUGUACCGCUGUUUCAUAGGUUUAGCUCUGCUUUAUAUGCUUAUUAUACUUUACUGUCCAUGACUUAGAUUAGUUGUUGAAAAAUCUGCCUCUGCUGUAUUUGUUUAUGCAUUAUUUAUAUCAUGUAAUGUCUCAGCAGUUGGUGGAAGGCUGGACUGUUGAUCCCAGACCCUUGAGUUUAUCAAGGUAAAGGAUCUUACCUGAAGGUUAUACAGCUGUAGUGACAUAAACACAAUAAAUACCUCUGGAAAACAUAUAAAGUCAGGGUUAUAUAUUUAGUGUAAUAUUUGACGUUACCAAAUGUUGAAUCUUCAGAGUCAGUGAGUUUGUAGUGAGUGUUAGAUGUAUUUAAAACUUGUGUACAUAUUGCACCUUACAGUAUAUACAAUACUGUAUAUAUUUUUGAAGAUAUUUAUCUGAUCACUUAAUAAGUGACUGCAAUAAGGUUCAAUAUAAGUCUACAGUCAACAUUGGUCGUUUAUUAAGACUGAUGAAUAAGAGCACCAGUUGGCCCUCAUCAUGGCUGCUCUCUCAACUUUAAGUUGUCACAUUUAUAUAUAUUUCAAUAACACAUCUUGUGUUGGCAACAGUGUACCCAGGACCAGGGAAGGUGUUGUUGUAUGGAUGAUACAAGUAAGUCAAGACUCCUACUGGUCAUAAUAUUACUGGGGCAAAUUUAAUAUUGUCAGUCACACAAAUAUUAUUGGUUUAGUCUGUAUUAAGUAGGGCCUUUAUAAUGUAUGUUGCAAACAGCAGGGGUUCCCAAACUCUGGCCCACAUAUUCCUGGCAGACACGACAACAAACCUUCGGUGAUAAAGAUAUGCCACGUACAAAAUUAUGAUGGAACACCACAAGCCUGACCAGGCAGGUCAGAUUACACUUGGAUCAGGGAUGUUUGUACGUAUGUAACAAGUCUUCAAAUAUUAAGGCAUUUGAGAUAAAUAUACUCGUCUUCAACGUAAAAGUUUGUACUGUACAGUACAGUAAUGGAGUGAGAUGAUGAUGGUCAAAUUUCUCGUUGGGAGCUUUGUGAGGUCCUACCAAGUGUAGUGUAGUUAAUAUGAAGUGCAAUGAGUAUUUUACACAUUUCCACAAGCAUUUUCCAAACCUUUAGAUUCCUCCAGUAAUCCUUCAAAGCUCACAUAAACAAGUCCUCUCUUAUACAUUAACUGGCACAGUGCUGGCAGACCUUGAGGCAAAUAACACCUUGAUAAGUCUAUAAAACAAGUUGACUCAUCAACUUUUUCUUUGACUUACCGUUACUUUAAGAGUUCAGGGCUGAAAUGAUCACAAUAUUAGGGUUCAUAUUGCAUACAGUGUAUGUGAACAGAUAUUCUCCGAGGUGAAGUUUGUGAAGUCACGGCUGAGAUCACGACUGUUGCACCGGACGCUGAGGCUGAGAGUGUCCAACAUCUGCUGCCUCACAUUAAUAGCUCGGUCAGUCAGUGGUCACAGCUCGUGGUUCUCAUCGGGUGGCAGAACAAGUUGAUGUACCGGACACCUUUGUUACUGGUGUACAGAUAUUGAUAGUCUAGUGUUUGACAUUUUGCAUCAAAUAAUCAGUAACUUCGAGCAAGCUGUAAUUAUUCAACUAAGCAUUUAUGAAAUGUGGUGGUAAUAAUUUAUUGUGCAUAAUCAUGAUAAGAGUAUCAUUAAAAUAAGACAAAUUUAUUUGAUGAAAGCAAACUAUCUGAGCCACAAGUUCAGUUCAUAUUAUGUUAAGUCUUCCCUCAUGGUGUGACCCAGAAGAGUUUUGGGACCCCUGAGAUACUGUACCGUGUGUACUUAUAACUGCAACAACAUGAUGUAAAUUUUGGACCAUCAAGUCAGAGCAAAAGGCUGUGUCAGUCUUCAUGCACAGUACAUUACAGUAUUGUUUGCUCUUUUACAUUAUUCUGUACAAGUAUAUAAAAAUGCAACAUCAAUACUGAUGAUAAGAUGGUCUAUGGGUUUAUUGAUUGUAUUUCAGCAUUAUAAAAAAAAUAAUAAAACAAUGUGAAUACCCGGUAAUUGUGUGAAAAAAUUAAUAGUUAAUAAUGUAGAGUAUAUACAUAACUGUUAGUCUAGUCUGUCUGUGGUCAUGUUGACCUUCCACUUUGUCGAUGAGCAAAGUUCCUGAAGGAGUACCAGUUACCCUAGAUGAAGUACCUGCCCUUAACUCCUCAUCCUCUAAAUUAUCACUUGCUUGUGUUCAAGUAAUUCUUAACUCCUGGUGAAAGCAGUUAACAAGUCUUCAUGUGAGGUGUGACCCUCAUCCAGUGCUGCCAGCAGCCAGUCAACAGCUCCACUACAAGUACAACCCCAACCUGGUGGGGGAGGAAGACCAGGAACUGGCUGAGCAUCUUCACCGUCGUCACCUCAACGCUCGCAGGAUGACU